UGCCCCUAUUCUGGUGAUGGGAACAGCUGAUGUGAGUUCCUGGGCAGCAUCUCAGCUGUGAGAAUUGAGGCAUUACCAGGACAUUGGUGUGCUGCCUGAUGUGAGUGCUGUGGAAGGCUGCGAACAGAAGGAAAUGCAUGGACAAUGCCCAGGGAAUGCAGGUGUGGAAGUUGUGAUGGGUGAUAGUCAAGCUUCUCCAGCUGGAAAGAAAAGACUGGCUUGUCACUACACUCCACUCUCUUUUACAAUCAACAGAAGAGCACCAGAAAUCCCAUCCACAUGUCUUCAAAGUUCUCAAGGAGCACUGGAUUUGGAAUGAUAAAUGCCUAAAACUCCUUAUUGCUAUCAGGCUGAAGCCCAAACAAUACUUCCAGGUUAUCUACAAGAAGUAUAGUGGAAAGAAUGCUGAAUGCAGACUGUAGUGAAUGGGACAAGUCAUUUACUUGUCCACACAAGUGGAUACAAAUAAGAUACUGCACAGCAUAAGCAAUAUCCCUCUUCAAAGAAGAGAAGGAUUCAAGCUGACCCUUAUCAACUACUUACUGCAUAACUGAUGAUAAUUCAAUUUCCAGCUUCUGUUAUUAUGGCGUUCAUUAGAUUCUCAUCAACUGCAUGAAGUAACCAGUCAGUUACAGGUUUUGGCCACGGAAACAGCAGUAAAAUGGCUAUAAAGUCAAACUGUCUGGAAGAGCAAUUUCAGAUGCUACAAUUCACACCAGUGCUCAGAUAUUCCUCUGCUGUAUGCUGCUAAUGCCUUCCUUGGACUCGCAACAAUCCUGUGUCUAAAGACAGUGUGAUUGCCAAGGUUUGAUCCAAGUGUGAGAGCUGCAGGAUUUGGACACAGGUCACUGACGGAAACAAGACCGUGCUUACUAUUGAAUUAAAUAACAGAUCUGGCUGAGCAGUCAUUGAAUUAUAUCAGUGGAGUUUCUUCCCUUCCACAUCGUUUCACUUCUGUCUUUUUCCACCAAAUAUACUUCCUGUAUUUUUCACUGUGUUUGAGGCACACAUUAUUGUUUUCAUAAUUAUAUUCUUGUCUAAUGUAGUACCAGAAGAGGUACAGUCACUUGUUUGAAAAGCAGAACACAACAUUCAUUGGUGGCAUUAAUUUAGCCCUCUGAGCCACAGGAUCUCAAAAUGCUGCACUUACCCAAUCUUCAAUAUUUCUGUAGGACAACGUAUAUUGAAAGAAAUAUACAAGUUUAAAGCAAAAGAGGGCAACAGCACCUAUUUUUUUCCUUCGUUGUCCUUUACGGAAAAACAUCUGGAUAUCUGGUAAAGCUGCUCACAAUUUGAACUACUGUCUGAGGUCAUUCAAAGUCUGUUAAUGGAAACAGAUUUAACAUACCCUUAAUUUGGAUGUCAGGAGCUUAGGUCUCAAAUGUGUGGCAAUUAAUGUGCUGUUGUCAGGAAGAUCCACAAGUGAAUUGGACUUGCCAGUAGUAACCCUUGGGGGAGCUAUUUUACACCUGCUGCUAAUCAUUCAUACAUGUGGAACAGCCUUUAGAACAAGCCUGGUGCAGGUGGAUAAAAGACUUGAUUUAUUGACCUGUUUUCCCAGUCUUAUUGAAAUGAAUUUUAAAGUCUUUCAGUUAUUAAUUCCUGUAGAUUAGCUAGUAUGGAAGCUGUUUAUAUUUGGGCAUUGAGAUAGAGAUGAAAGUAUAAGAGCAGCUCUUUAACCUUUGAGGAGACCCUUAUAUUUAGUUGCCUGCAUUAACUUAAUGAUUAAUUUCUUAUUCAAUUUCCUGUUACAGUGGAGUCCAGGAAGGCGACUGGCAAUUUAGCAGCACUGAUAGAUGUGGGUGACUUAGAGUAUAGGACUGCAAUGCUAAUACCUCUUUCUACAAAGUACAAGUACUAUAAGUAAACUCAUUCAAAAAAAUAUUCAGUCUUAGAUUCUUGAGGAAUUGUCAGAUGUGUUAUGGGUGCUAUAAUUCAGGAACUGUUGAUUUCUCAGUGUGAAGAUAAUCAGAAGGAGACAAAAAAGUCCUCUGGAGAGUAGCUUCAGAAGAUAUUAGCAACACAUAUAAAUUAUAAAGCUGGUAGACUUCAGAGUUAUUUCUGUUCAGCAAAGGCAUAUUUUUUUAGCUGUGUGAAGGCAGUAUGAGUUCAUGCUGUGCAUUUCCCUCAGUAGCUGGAAUCCUGCUAAUUUUGUAUAAGUCUUUAAUAUGUGUGUGCAAAGCAGUUACAAGGUAUCAGUAUCAUAUCUACUAAUUUUCAAGCAAUGUAAGUGAAAUAAUUUGAUUGGAGAAAAAAAUAGAUGCGGAUAAAUGAAGUUUGUUUGGAUCAGUAAUUGGCUGACGCUGACUGACACCGAUCAGAAUGGCAUGAACAGAAGUCCCUGUCAGCUAUGUGUAGAUUGCUCUCCUGAGCUUAUGUUAUCAAAUUCAUGAAGCAAACAAACAAAACAAAA